UCUGGCGGCAUUAGCGCGGUGGUCCCACCUGACCCCAUGCCGAACUCAGAAGUGAAACGCCGUAGCGCCGAUGGUAGUGUGGGGACACCCCAUGUGAGAGUAGGACAC
rnacentral:rRNA from 21 species